GUUAAUGAAGCUGAAGUCCAACCUGGAGAUAAAAAUAUCUAAGCCUGGGAAGCUGCAAAAGUCACCUUUUAUCAAAUAAAAAGAGUGAGGCUAUGCCAACGUGCACCUCUUCUUGUGAAGUUCACGGAAGAAGAGAUGAGUGGGAGUCCACUCUUCUGCGAUUCGCUUGCAGUUCAUGAAAAUAAGGAAAGCGGAGUCCCAAUAAGGAGUUUUGGAGUGAGAAAUAACAAGGCAUAGCAGUGUCCCAAGACAAAGAAUAUCUCUUGAUACUAUUAAAUAUAGAUGUCUGGACUGAAUUGAGCUUACACGACAAUUGCAGUCAAGAUUCUGCAACUCAGAACGGGCAAACCAGUCUGAAUCAAUUUACCCUGUGAUCCUGUCUGCUGGGAAGCAUUGAAAUAGUAAGGAAGUCUGAUGUGCCUGCAGGUUAAUCCAGCUGUCUGGGGCACCUAAGCAUCAAGGGUGGAAAGGGAGACUGGAAGUGCAAGUCUGAAAGGAGAAAAAAGAAGGUGAAACCAGUCUGCAGGAGAAAUGACUGGGAAUUUAGAAGGAGUGGGCACCCACAAGAGAAGAGAAGACACGAAGUGAGAAAAGGCUGCUGCUUGCCAAGGCACUUUUAAGAACGGGACAUCUUAUCACUUUUCAGUUGUUUGAGCUUCUUGCUCCCCAGACUUUCAGCUAAAAUUGUGGCUGUUUUGUUGGCGGAAAUCAGUGAAAAGAAAAUGAGUUCUGUGUCUAGUUCAGUUUACAGCAGAGGCAAGACGAUGCCUGAAGCAGGUGGCAAGGAGUGAAAGGGGAGUGUGCAUGGAAGCAGCAGGUCAGAGCCAGAGUUUAUCAUGAAAGUCUGAGCCCUCGCAAACAUGGUUCAUGCACAACCCAUAAAAUUUCAUCAAACUCUCAGUCUCAAAAAUUUGUGUAGGAAGAGCCUGACAUGAAUGCUGCAAAUACAUGAUUAUUAUUCCUAGACAUAUCUAAGGGCAUCUAAAAUUAUAAAAUUUAUAGUGAUAUUGCUUAAAUUACAUUUUUGAAUAUCUCACUCAUACAUGUAUUACCUAUAUUAUUAUACUGUUAAUUAUACCUUCAUUGAUUUUUUUUAAAUUUUAUUCUUUUGUUUUAAGUUUAGAUGUGGAUGCAUUUUCUAAAAACUACAAGAUUACCCAAACAGAACCGAUUGAAUUUCAAGGUUAGGAAGUUUUUCUAAUAAUAAUUUAUGGUCCAAGUAUAAUGUGAUGAAGUGUGCUUGUAGGUACCAACCUGAGACUAUAUUUGGCAAGAGUUGAAUAAAAUAUG
rnacentral:lncRNA from 1 species